rnacentral:rRNA from 1 species
CUACAUGGACGGGACAGAGGGCUGCAAACCGCGAGGUGUAGCUAAUCUCAUAAACCCGUUCUCAGUUCGGAUUGUAGGCUGCAACUCGCCUACAUGAAGUUGGAAUCGCUAGUAAUCGCGGAUCAGCAUGCCGCGGUGAAUACGUUCCCGGGCCUUGUACACACCGCCCGUCACACCACGAGAGUUUGGAACACCCGAAGUCGGUGGGGUAACCUUUUUGGAGGCAGCUGGCUAAGGGGGGACCGAUGAUUGGGGUGAAGUCGUAACAAGGUAGCCGUAUCGGAAGGUGCGGUUGGAUCAC